AGCGGGGAGCUUGUAGUACAGGCUGAGAGGAAGGUGAGACCUUCGACCCAUUACCUGAUUUGGAUAAUGCCAACGUAGGGAAGACUGUAAAU
rnacentral:ncRNA from 1 species